rnacentral:rRNA from 1 species
CAAAGGGCUUAUGGUGGAUGACUUGGCACAAACAGGCGACGAAGGACGUGGUAAGCUGCGAUAAGCCUCGGGUAAUCGCAAACAGAUUAAGAUCCGAGGAUUUCCGAAUGGAGCAAUCCACUGGGAUUAAUCUCCCAGUAUCCCGAUCUGAAAAUUUAAAAAUAGGGUCGGGAGGCAAAACCGGGCAAACUGAAACAUCUCAGUAGCCCGAGGAAUAGAAAAAGCCAUUGAUUCCCUCAGUAGCGGCGAGCGAAAAGGGAAUAGCCUAAACCCUGCAGCAAUGCGGGGUGUUGCGGGACCAGAUCUGACCGCAAGGUCGGCUUUGCGUAUAUUCAUAGUUGAACAGCCUGGAAAGGCUGACCAAAGAAGGUGAUAGUCCUGUAAGUUAAAUGAAUAUACCAAGGCUGGAUUUGGCACCCAAGUACAACGGGACACGUGAAACCCUGUUGGAAUCUGGCCUGACCAUGGGCCAAGGCUAAAUACUAGUUUGUGACCGAUAGCGCAAAAGUACCGUGAGGGAAAGUUGAAAAGAACUCCUUUAAGGAGAGUGAAAUAGUACCUGAAAUCGUAAGCCUACAAGCUGUCUGAGGACUAUGUCUGCCGCAAGGUAGAAAUGUCUAAGGGCGUGCCUUUUGCAUAAUGAUCCUGCGAGUUACUUGUGUGCAGCGAGGUUAAUCAGCAUUGAGCUGAGGAGCCGUAGCGAAAGCGAGUCCGAAUAGGGCGUCCAGUUGCAUGCAGUAGACCCGAAGCUGGGUGAUCUAUUCUUGGCCAGGCUGAAGCGUGAGUAAAAUCACGUGGAGGGCCGAACCCGUUAGUGUUGAAAAACUAUGGGAUGAGCUGAGAAUUGGAGCGAAAGACUAAUCAAACCCAGAAAUAGCUGGUUCUCCCCGAAAUAACUCUAGGGUUAGCCUCGUGUAAAUGGGCGACAGGGGUAGAGUACUCGAUGGGCUAAGGACCCCACCAGGUUGCUGAACCCAACGAAACUCCGAAUACUGUCGUACCUUAUCACGGGAGUCAGCCUACGAGGGAUAAGCCUCGUGGACGCGAGAGGAACAUCUCAGACCGCUAGCUAAGGUCCCUAAUAUACGUUAAGUGGCAAAGGAUGUGGAUUUACACAGACAACCGGGAUGUUGGCUCAGAGGCAGCCAUCAUUUAAAGAGUGCGUAACAGCUCACCGGUCGAUUGCGAGUCCGCGCCUACAAUGAUCGGGGCUAAACGUAUAACCGAAGCUGCGGAUUAUUGCCGAUUCGUCGGUAAUAGUGGUAGGGGAGCAUUCCACGUUAGAGUGAAGGUAGACCGAGAGGACUACUGGACGAAGUGGAAGAGAUUAUGCAGGAAUGAGUAGCGAAAAAGCACGUGCGAAACGUGCUCACCGAAAGUCUAAGGUUUCCUGGGGAAGGUUAAUCCGCCCAGGGUUAGUCGUGCCUAAGCUGAGGCCGAAAGGCGUAAGCGAUGGACAGUGGGGCAAAAUAUUCCCACACCAUCUAUUUGGCGCUAUCAGUACGGAGUGACGCAGGAGGUUAAGUCUACCCGGUUUUGGAUGUCCGGGGUUGCGCUUGUAGUAUUCCGCGCAAGCGGGAUACAAGGAGCGCGAGGAUCCCAAUCUACGGAAAGGGAGAACUGGCCCACACCAUACUGCCAAGAAAAACCUCUGUUACGAGUCAAGUAGAUGCACGUACCGCAAUCCGACACAGGUAGACGGGCAUAAUAUGCUCAGGUGAUCGAGAGAACCCUCUUUAAGGAACUCGGCAAAAUGACCCCGUAACUUAGGGAAAAGGGGUGUCUCCGUUGGUGAGCUGUACAAGCAAGCUGACGGGGAUCACAGUUAAGAGGAUCAGAUGACUGUUUAGCAAAAACACAGCACUCUGCUAAGUCGUCGAUACAAGACGAUGUAUAGGGUGUGACACCUGCCCGGUGCUGGAAGGUUAAGGGAAAGGGUCAGUCCGAGCAAUCGGACGAAGCCUAGAACUGAAGCCCCAGUAAACGGNNCGCACGAAUGGUGUAACAAUCUGAUCGCUGUCUCAAAGAGGGGUUCGGCGAAAUUGUAGUGGCGGUGAAGAUGCCGUCUUCCCGCGAAUAGACGAAAAGACCCCAGAACCUUUACUGUACUCUGGUAUUGGAUUUUGGUCCAGUAUGUGUAGGAUAGGUGGGAGCCUUUGAAGUCUCGGCGCUAGCCGGGAUGGAGGCGACGUUGAAAUACCACCCUUAUUGUAUUAGAAUUCUAACCUCGUCCCUUCUAACAGGGCGUGGAACAGUGCUAGACGGGCAGUUUGACUGGGGCGGUUUCCUCCUAAAGAGUAACGGAGGAGCACAAAGGUUCCCUCAGUGCGGUUGGCAAUCGCACGGUGAGUGUAAGGGCAGAAGGGAGCUUAACUGUGAGUCUGACAAGACGAACAGAUGCGAAAGCAGGUCCUAAUGAUCCGGCGGUUUAAUGUGGAAUUGCCGUCGCUCAACGAAUAAUAGGUACUCUGGGGAUAACAGGCUUAUCGGUUCCGAGAGUUCAUAUCGACGAACCGGUUUGGCACCUCGAUGUCGGCUCAUCGCAUCCUGGGGCUGAAGUAGGUCCCAAGGGUUUGGCUGUUCGCCAAUUAAAGCGGUACGUGAGCUGGGUUUAGAACGUCGUGAGACAGUUCGGUCCCUAUCUGCCGUGGGCGCAGGAUUCUUGCGAGGCCCUGCCCGUAGUACGAGAGGACCCGGGCAAACGAACCUCUGGUGUUCCAGCUGUCACGCCAGUGGCAAAGGCUGGGUAGCCAUGUUC